UGGUGGGCUAUAGUCCCUGAGGUCACAAAGAGUUGGACGUGACUGAAGUGACUUAGCACGCACACUUUCUGGAUAUGUUGUGUGUAAUAGUCAGCUAGGGCUGCCACAGUAGAAUAGCACAGAAUGGGUGGUUUAAACAACAGAAGUCUAUAUCCUUACAGUUCUGGCGGAUGGAAGUCCAGGAUCAAGGAAGGUAUCGCCUACUUUACUAUCCAGCAGUAAGAAGAAAACUUCUCUCCACCAGAUGACAUUCCAGCCAACCAGAGACUGUAGUGCCCCAACCAAAUGUGACCGUAUUGCAAACAGGUCUUUGCAGAUGUCACGAGGUGAGAUGAGAUCUUACCGGCCUGGGGUGGGCCGUCAGUCCACGAUAUGUGUCCACUGUGAAGGCCAAGCAAAGACACGGAAACACUGGGAAGGUGGCCACGUGGCAAGAGAGGCAGAGACGGGGCUGAGGCAGCCACCAGUCAAGGAAGGCCACGGAUUGCCAGCCGUCAGCAGAAGCUGAGGGGGGUGCGGAGAGAUUCUCUGCUAGAUCCUUUGGAGGAAGCAUGGUCCCGACAGCACCUUUACUUCUGAUUUCUGCCUUGCAGAACUGUG